AGUUAUUAAAGUAUACGCCAAGUGCUGUUCUCAACACUGCAGAUGUAGCAGGACACAGAGAAGGUUUUGCCCUCAAAAAGUAACUAUUGGAGAGAGGGGCAGGAAUCAGACUAUUUAAGUCAUGAUACAGAGUUUGGAUAUUAUUAUAGGUGCAGUUGAAGAGUAUUGGUGGAAGGAUAUGAUCAGAUUUGGGUUUUUUUUUUAUAGGAUCACCAUGAAGAGGAGAAUCCACUAUACAGAAUAUGUAUGGGCCAGAGUCCUAGCCUUCUGCUACUUUCCACUGGAAUUGAAUCAUUCCAGGAUCAACAAAACUGUGGCCAUAAUUUCCUCCCAACAAUCCUUCAAACAGCAUUGACUCUUGGUUAGCUCAAAGGGUCAAGGAGGCCAAAGCCAUGGUUUGAUCAUGUGGCCAUCAGUAUUGCAUUGUUCCAUGACAAAUCCUACCCCUCUUCUUUUCUAGCUGGCUGUACUUCAUAGGCUCCCAUUGGUCAUAUAGGACACCAGACAAGAAGCUAGGAAAGAUCACCGACUGUGGUACCUAUUGCCCAAAGUUGUGGUCUGAAGGAUCAAAGGACAGAUAAAGUCACAUCUUAAAGAGGGGCCAACAUUAAGACCCGGAAAAAGAGGACCAAAUAAGUUUGUCAAUCGCAGAAGCAAGAAGGAGAAUAAAGGAUACUGAGCCAUACAAGAAGAUACCCAGGAUGCUGAUGGAUGAGGAAUAUAGAGUAGGUGGAUCGGAGAGGAGAAAUUUGGACACAGAGACAGACACACCAUAGGAAGAAUGCCAUAUGAACAUGAAGCAGAGAUGGGGUGAGCCUUUGUGAGCCAAUGAACAGCAAAGAUUGGAAGCAAACCCCCAGAAGCUAGAGAGAGCAUAGAACAGAUUCUUCCUCCCAGGCUUCAGAAGGACGCAAUCUUGCUGACACCUUGAUCUUGGACUUCUAGCCUCUGAAACUGUGAGACAACAUGUUUCUGUUGUCCCACAGGCCCUGGAGAUGCUCUCACAGGAAGGAAUGCCUGGGGGACAUGGGACCAGAUGACCACAUCAGUUACAGUUUACGUUUAGAAGGAACCAUUCCAGUGUCACAUGGCAGAAGACGUAAGAGGAUGGGUCACAGUUGAUGGGAGCUGAUUGGUGCUGAAGCAGACUCCAGUUCAUUUCCGUUCACCUCAUUAUUUGUUUGAAUUCUGGGCUGAAGCCAAGCAACAAACAUGAACAUUCCCCCUGCGGAGCAGGCGCACACAGACACUUGGAGGCACGCUUACACGUGCCGCACUCUCCCAGGCAUGCACACAUGUUUACACGAGCGCGCGUCCUCACCCGGACACACUCGCACACAGGCGCUCACCCAUGCAGACACUCCCUACUUGCCUACACGCACUCCUGCACACGGGCACACACAGCUGCUCCAGCUGCGGUCAGCUGUGCAAGGUCUCUGCCUUCCGUGACUGGGGCGUCUAGGAGAACUUCAAACCUGAGAGUUCCUCCUCUCGCCCUCCUGUUCCCCUGGCCGCCUGGACACCGACGCUUGCCAUCUGUAAUCCAUCACUACAGGUCUUACGCCCCGUUUCCAGCCAUUGUCAAUCGAGUGGGAGACCUUCCAACCUUCUGUCUCAAUGAAAGUCAACUGUUGUCAACCCAAGCUCCCAUGAAGCUCCAGGGACUAGCCUGACUUGGAUUUUAAACAGUCCUGCUGCCCGCCCUGCCUGUGAAUCAGGCUGGGCUCCAGACGAGGUGGGGAAGCCCUCUAGUGGCCAAGGCUGAAGUGACAAUAGGCGUGGAGGGCUCCGGGAUGUCGCAGGAACCAGUCCACUCUUCCUGAAACCACAGUCCCUAAAAUCUUUACAGCCUAAAUCCUCCCUCUCCAUCACCCCCAGAUCCUUCUAGUCACCAGGUCCUAUCAAUUUCCCUCCCAAACAGCUGUCCCUGUUGCCCACCCUAGCUCUGCCUUAUCACCCAUGCGUCGUAGGGCUGCAGUGGACCGUUGCCUGGACCUCUGUGACUGAUCCAUUACGGACCUCGCUGCCAAAUUCAUCUCCCAGACCCUCACUGUUGGUCUUCUAUGUUCUCUGUUUAAGACUUCCAGACUUCCCCUCUGGUCUCUAGCGGUGAUCCUCAAAAGGGAGACACACUGUCUCAGGACAGGUUGAGCAGCAUUUCCACACACAGUCUAGAGAUGUUGAUGUUCCUCCCCACACCAUGCUCAUGUUGGACCACUUCUAUCGAGGUGUCGUUCCUGCCCUAUUACUCAAAUGUAGAGGGCUGAGGAAAAGAUGGAGAACCACAAGUCCUCGGGGCAAAAGUUCAAACAUCUCAGCCCCCCACAGCCUGGCCUUAAAUUUCUUUUCUAGGUUUAGUGUUACAGUGUAACAUCGAGGUUAAGGACUAGAAUCAGUCUGGCUUAGAACCCCAGGUGUACAACUUAUUAGCUCUGUAAUGGUAUGGAAGGUUCUAGAUCCUUAGUUUCUUUACAGGGUUCUUGAGAUGUUAAUGAGGUAGCCUGUGUAUGAGACUUAGCCCAGUGCUUGCCCCACGGUCAGUGCUCACUUAAGGACAGCUGUAAUUAGUACUCCUCUGUCUAUAAGCCGACUGGUUCGCGCACAGGUCAGGCAUGUCCUUGCACUUUCCAUCUCUGCACUUCGGCUCUUGACGCUUUAUUUGCCUGGAAUGUCCCCUCCCUCCUCUCUAAUGUCAAGACCUCACCUGUUCUGCUGUGCCCAGCUCAAAUUUCUUCACCUGCUUAGGGACCUGAGCUAAUCCUGGACUUACGGACCUCAUAUAUUAUCUCUUGUGAGAGGGAACAAAUACUUUGUGAGAGUGCACCGUAUAAACUUAUGCAAGUGUGUAAUAGACAAAUAUGUGGGAUAUUUAAUUGUGCAAUCAUUCUAAAAAAUUAGAUAAAGCCUUAUAAUGUGUUUUCAUGUGUUACUAGAAUAGUUAUUCAAAUUGUUUUAAUAUCUUACUUCUCUGAAUA